AAGCGAGGUAUUUUGAGACACAGGCAAUCAGCGUGACAUGAAGAAACAAUUAUCAGAGCAUUCCUUUGUAACCAAGUCACAGGGAAACAAGAUGGAUGGGCACAUCUCCCUCCCAGAUCACUCUCAGGCAGAUAAAGCAGUUGCUGAGCCAAGCCCUCAGUUCCAGUGAACUCUCAGGAAAGAGAGGGACCGAGGGCUGCUGCGAGCAUUAAGUGAGGAGUUUGGAAAGCCUGGAACAUAUGAACGCUUAAACACCCCUUCAGUACGCCAGCAUUAGGAGGUGAGGGCAGGCCUGGCUGCUGUGCUGUGUGCUGUCCACACGUCCAUUUGCCUCAUCCUAAAGGGAUAAUACAGAUAAAGUGAUGAAAUGUGGGCAACCUCAGACCUACCACACAGCAAGCACACACUUAACUGUGGCGACUGCUGCCACGUGUGUCUAAUGGAUCUCGGAUUGCCAAGGUCUACCAUGAAAGACCCAGGAUUGAGGCCUCACACCCCUGACAUUCUGAUUCUUGUUUACACUAGAAAAUGCAUGUGUGUAAAAUAGAAUAAAGCGGCUCUGACACACCCUUCCAAGCAACCCCGCCUGAGACUCAUUCACUCACUCACUCACUCAUUCACUCACUCACUCAUCCCAGACUUGUUUAUGAAGCACCUAUGACAAAUACUGUUUGUGUUAGCAACCAGGCAUGUGUUAGCAACCAGGCAUCUCCACCAUCUGCCCCCAGGGAUCCAGGGACAGCAGACGUCAUCACUAGCUGCCAAGAUGUGACACAUUCCCACUGUCACUAUGAGAUGCAUAACCCCUGUGCUUGUGCUACAUCCCCUUAUAAAAGGCCAGUCCCUCCUCUCCCUGAUCCUUCUACCCUCCGCCCUUGCCCAGAGGCAGCCUCUGUAGACUCCCUCCCCAUUAAACCUCCCAUGUGAGAUCUGUCA